ACUAAACUUGUAACGAGGUAUAUAUAUUUGAACCUUUUUUCAAAGUUCUGGGCAUAUUUGGCCGUUUUUCCGUUUUCUUAAAAUUGAUGGCAAGUCAAAACUUAGUCAAAACUAAGACCCAACUUGAAAUGGAGGUUGAGAGUAGCGCCGUGAAGUGGUUGGGCGUGAUUCCAUGACCUUUCUCAGCGCGAACGCUCUUGGUUGGCUGAUUGAAUCGGCCGUAUCAACUCAAUCCCUUGUUAUUGGUCGAGCUGUUCAUGGUCACAUCAUCAGAACUAUUGAACCUCCUUUCCCACCUUUCCUCUCCAACCAUCUCAUCAACCUCUACUCCAAACUCGACGCUCUCAACUCAGCUCAACUCCUUCUUUCACUCACCCCUACUACUUCUCGUUCCGUCGUGACAUGGACGGCCCUCAUUGCUGGCUCCGUCCAAAAUGGCCAUUUUACCUCUGCCCUUUCGCAUUUCUCUCACAUGCGCCGCCAGUCUGUUCGACCCAAUGACUUCACCUUCCCUUGCCUUUUCAAAGCCUCAGCCUUCUUGCAUUCCCCCGUCAUGGGCCAGCAGCUUCACGCACUCGCAACUAAAACUAGCUUGAUUAAGGAUGUGUUUGUUGGGUGUAGCACAUUCGACAUGUACUGCAAAACGGGUCUACGGGAAUAUGCGCACAAGAUGUUUGACGAGAUGCCCCACAGGAAUAUCGCUACCUGGAACGCCUGUAUUUCUAAUUCCGUGCUUGACGGGAGGCCUUGCCAUGCCGCUUUAAAAUUUGUUGAGCUCUUACGGGUGGGUGAAGAACCACCUAAUUCCAUCACUUUUUGUGUGUUUUUGAAUGCUUGUUCGGAUGCUUUGUAUUUGAAACUUGGCCGCCAGUUGCAUGGUUAUGUGAUUCGACUUGGGUUUGGAUCAGAUGUCUCUGUUCUAAAUGGAUUGAUUGAUUUUUAUGGCAAAUGUCAUGAGGUGGGGUAUUCAGAAAUGGUUUUCAAUGAGAUAAAUGUGCGUAAUGGUGUAUCAUGGUGCACCAUGUUGGCAGUGUAUGAACAGAAUGAUAUGUGGGAGAAGGCUUUUAUGGUGUUUCUUAAGGCAAGGAAGGAAGAUAUUAAACCAACUGAAUUCAUGGUUUCAAGUGUGCUUAGUGCUUGUGCAGGAAUGGCGGUGCUUGAGCUGGGGAGGUCUAUUCAUGGUCUUGCAGUAAAGGCUUGUAUCGAGAGUAAUGUUUUUGUUGGCAGUGCACUUGUUGACAUGUAUGGAAAAUGUGGUAGCAUAGAAUAUUGUGAAACGGCUUUUUAUGAAAUGCCUGAAAGGAAUUUAAUAACGUGGAAUGCAGUAAUGGGUGGUUAUGCUCAUCAAGGGUGCGCGGAUAUGGCAUUGAAUUUGUUUGAGGAGAUGACAAGUGAAAGGCAUGAUGUGAUGCCUAAUUAUGUGACGUUUGUUUGUGUAUUGACAGCUUGUAGUAGGGCCGGGGCUAUUAUUAUAGGCAUGGAUAUCUUUGAAUCUAUGCGGAAGAAGUAUGGGAUUGAACCAGGGCCAGAGCAUUAUGCAUGUGUUGUGGACAUGCUUGGAAGGGCUGGUUUGGUGGAGCAUGCGUAUGACUUUAUCUACAAAAUGCCUGUUCCACCUACAGUUUCAGUUUGGGGAGCGCUUUUAGGGGCUUGUAGAGUUUAUGGAAAACCUGAACUAGGGAAGGUUGCAGCUAGCAAUUUGUUUCGACUUGAUCCAAAGGACUCUGGAAACCAUGUCAUUCUUUCUAAUAUGUUUGCAGCUGCUGGAAGGUGGGAUGAGGCUAAUCUCGUCAGAAAGGAAAUGAAGGAUGUUGGCAUCAAGAAAGGGGCCGGAUUCAGUUGGAUAUCUGCAAAGAAUUCUAUCCAUAUUUUCCAAGCAAAGGAUACAACUCAUGAGAGAUACCCAGAGAUUCAAGCAAUGCUGGCCAAGUUAAAGAGAGAUAUGAAAGCAGCAGGUUAUACUGCUGACACGAAUUUUGCGCUAUACGACUUAGAGGAGGAAGAAAAAGAAUCAGAAGUUUGGUACCACAGUGAGAAGAUUGCGCUUGCAUUUGGUCUCAUUACGAUCCCUUCUGGAGUCCCAAUAAGGAUAACCAAAAACCUGAGGGUUUGUGUGGAUUGCCAUAGUGCAAUAAAGUUCAUCUCGGGCAUUACUGGUAGAGAAAUUAUUGUAAGAGAUAACAACCGCUUUCAUUCUUUCAAGGACUACCAGUGUUCAUGUAGAGAUUAUUGGUGAAUCUAGUUUAAGUAUUCCAGAGAAUUCCAGAUGCUUCCAUGCCAUUCUGCCAUUGAACCAGGCUCUAGUUUACCCUCAUUAUGUACUGCAGUGAUAGGAGUGAUGUUGAGGUUGAAGAUCUGAACUAGAAGAUACCACCUCCAUAAGUUUUGUCAUUUCCAAGGCUGAGCUGGAAUUGAAUACAAGGUUCACCAUACCCUGGUAGAGGCACACUUAAGAGCUUUACAAAUCUGAAAAGCUUUUUUUAGCCUCCCUAGGAGCUCCCAACAUUUCUGCUCCCUUGGUGAUCCGAACCCACAACCUUAAGGUUGGAGGUGGAGGGUGCUUACCACCUGUACAACCCCCUCUUGUCUCAGAUCUGAAACUCAAACUACGUUUACACUGGCACCACAGAAGACGCAACUCUGCCCAACACGUUUCUGAGCACUGCAAGCAUGAAAAGAGAAUUCUUUUGGUUCUAUAGCAUGUCAUGUUAUUUUAUCUUCACAUUGAUGGCAAAACACUUGAAUGUGGGAAGAAACUCCUGGUGCAGCUAGAGUACCAUAUGCAAGUUUCAGGCGAUAUCAACAUAAAACAUUCAAGAACAGAAAGAAGAGAACACUGAACAGGAAAAUCUAGCAAUUCUAUUUUUUUAUGAUGGUGGUGUAUGCUGCUGAGAAUUGCACAGAUACCUACCAUUUCCCAUCACCACAAGUACCGGGUAGCUUUGCCCAUCAAGAUUUAGGUAGAUCAAAAGAAAUCUAGCAUUCUAUUUUCAACAGUACUACAAGUUUAUUGAACAACUUUUUUCUCAGGGCCUCAUUCUUUUGUUCCGAUCUCAUAAAUUAGUGAGGGAGCACUCUUUUGCUCUAAAUUUUAGGUUUUACACUGUUGCGACAUUGCAAAAUUUUCAGCAGCAAAUUGCUAGCUUUCAAGGUUGCGGAGCAGAAGGAUAUCCAGGUGUAACUAUAGCACACUGUUGAUUUUUUAAAAGGAAAAAUUACAUAGAAGUGUACCUAAUAAAGUUACAUUCCAAAAAUAUAUCUCACUUUUAAGUUCUUACCAAAAAUGGUUCAAUUGAAAUGUUACUUUUCAUUCCGUUACCUAUUACAACGGUAGCACGAAUAUUUUGAAGUCAUUGUUGAAGCUCAAAGCUUCAAAAUUGAAAAUUGAACUUGAGUAAAUAAGCUUUGUUUUGAGUGAAUAUGGUUGCAAAAGAUCAGUUCUUUAUUGAGGAGUUCAAAUCUGAAGUUUGGAUGCUUUGGUGUAGUUUUGAGGUGUUUUUGUAAAAAUUGAAAAUUAAAUUUUCAUAAAUAAGCUCUAUUUUGAGUGGUAUGAUUGCAAAAGAUUUGUUAUGUAUGAGGAGCCCAAAUCUGAAGUUUUAAAUGAUAUGGUGUCGUUUUGAAGUGUUUUUGAAUGAAUUUGGUGCUUCGAUUCGUGGAAGAUGACGAAAUUCUUUCUUUUAUACAUCUAUAAUCUAUAAUCUAUAUAUUAAAAGUGU